ensembl:lncRNA
GCGUGCGUGUGGCGAUGGUGUGUGUGUGUGGUGUGGGGUGGUUGUGCGUGUGCGUGUGUGAUGCGUGUGGUGCGUGACCUUGUAGCCACCAACCGGUCCUCUAUCUUCAGUGGUCACCACGGUCAGCUUUCCCUGAGCGCUUUGUUUCUGGACGAGUACCAUGACCGCCUGUUCCUGGGGGGCAAAGACGUCCUCUACUCCCUGAGACUGGACCAUACCAACCUGGACUCCAAAGAGAUCUACUGGCCUCCGUUGCCUGGUAACAGAGAUGAAUGUGUCCAGAGAGGGAAAGAUUCUCAGACGGAGUGUGCCAACUUUGUGCGCCUGCUGCAGCCCUAUAACCGCACCCACCUGCUGGCCUGUGGUACGGAGGGUAAGACCCACUGCAUCACACACACACACACACACACACACACACACACACACACACACACACACACACACACACACACACACCACACACACACACACAAACACACACACACAGAGAACGGACGGGGGAAGGUUCCUCACGACCCCAGCCUCCCCUUCGCUAGCACCUUAAUUGGUGGGGAGUUAUACACAGGGCUGACUGCAGACUUCCUGGGUAGAGACUCAGUGAUCUUCCGUAGUCUGGGAGGUCGCUCCACCAUGAGGACUGAGACGGACCAGAGACUGCUGCAUGAUCCUAAGUUUGUUGCGGCCCACCUCAUCCCUGAUAAUGAUGACCGUGACAAUGACAAGGUGUACUUCUUCUUCACGGAGAAGGCCAUGGAGGCCGGGAACAGAGAGGGGGCCAUCCACACCCGAGUAGGACGUGUGUGUGCGAAUGAUGUAGGUGGACAGAGAGUGCUGGUGAAUAAAUGGAGCACCUUCAUCAAGGCCAGACUGGUGUGUUCUGUACCUGGGCCUCAUGGCAUUGACACACACUUUGACGAGCUGGAGGAUGUUUUCCUGCUUAGAGGCAAGGAUGAGAAGAACCCAGAUGUUUAUGCCAUCUUCAGCACCAUCAGUAACGUGUUCCAAGGCUUUGCAGUUUGUGUGUACCGUAUGGCAGACAUCAGAGAAGCCUUCAACGGGCCUUUUGCACACAAGGAGGGACCUGACUACCAGUGGGGGGCUUACGAGGGCAGAGUGCCCUAUCCAAGACCUGGGGUGUGCCCCAGUAAGAUCACCAACCAGCCUGGCAGACAGUUUGGCAGUACCAAGGACUUCCCAGACGCAGUGCUCCAGUUUGCCAGAGGGCACCCCCUGAUGUGGCGACCGGUGUACCCAGCCAUGAAGCAGCCUCUGCUGGUCAAGGCCAACUUGCCCUACCGCCUCAAACAGAUCGUGGUGGACCGUGUAGAGGCAGAGGAUGGACAGUAUGACGUCAUGUUCAUAGGCACCGACAUAGGCACUGUUCUGAAGGUCAUUGCAUUGCGCAGCGGCAACACUCUGGACACAGAAGAGGUCACUCUGGAGGAGCUGCAGGUCUUUAAGGUGCCAACUCCCAUUACCUCUUUGGAGAUCUCAGUAAAAAGGCAAGCACUGUACGUGGGUUCUCCGGUGGGUAUGGCCCAGCUGAGGCUUCACAGGUGUGAGACGUAUGGGAAGGCCUGUGCUGAGUGCUGCCUGGCCAGAGACCCCUACUGUGCCUGGGACGGCACCUCCUGCACUCGCUACACCUCGCUCAGCAGACGCCGCUAUCGCCGUCAGGACAUCAGGCAUGGCAACCCGGCCCUGCAGUGUAUGGACCAGAACCUCAGUGGUGAGAGAGGGGGAGAUGGAGGCAGCGCCUCUUCAACCUCAGGAAUUGUGUACGGGACAGAGAACAACAGCACCUUCCUGGAGUGUGUUCCCCGCUCCCCACAGGCCACUGUUACAUGGCUGCUCCAACGAGACGGCCGCAAGGAAGAGGUGAAGCUGGAUGACCGAGUGAUGCAUAUGGAGCAGGGCCUGCUCUUCCGCCGUGUGUUCCGUCAGGAUGAGGGUGUGUAUGUGUGUCUCUCCCGUGAGCACGGCUUCACCCAGACCCUCACCCACCUCUCCCUGGAGGUCCUGCAGGGGAACACACUGAGUGAGCUGCUGGCCCGUGACGACACCCCCCUCGACGGUCCCCUGGGGGUAAAGGGCCACCUGCGCCCCUGGUUCAAGGACAUCAUGCAGCUGAUUGGCCCAUCCAACCUGCCGCACGUGGAGGAGUACUGUGAGAGGAUGUGGUGCAACGACAAGCUGCGGCGUAAACACAAGAGCAUGCUGGACAAGUACCGGCAGGCACAGGAUAGCGCGCGCAAGACCCGCAAUAAGGGCUCCGGGGAACGCAACCGGACGCCGCGGGACGUCAGCAACCGACAGCCGUAG